AGCUCCCAGAGGAUUCGCGUAUAAAGUUUUUAUAAUAUUCCACACCGUACUAAUCUAAUUGAAGUUGAUUUUGUGCAUUAAUAAUAUAAUACGAGCGUGAGACUGUGGAUUACCUCUCCAUGCAACACCGGUCGGAACGUCUUUAUGUUCAUUGAAACUUGCGAAAGGUAUAUAAGGCCUACGAAUAUCCCAUACAUUUAUACUACAGUCUACUACAAGAGCACAACUGGAUAUAUGAUAUUUUCUUUGAGGUCUCCAUUUUAUACGACCUACUGAUGCAAUUAAGCAGUUGCAAGCCAAGCAGUUUCAGGAUGCCAAUCACAGGCAAAUAUAGGACCACUAUGGGCAGUGAAAUGUUGAAAGUAACGGUCUGGUUUGCGUAAGUCCCAUUGUUGCACAUGGCCAUUUUCAGAAACAGCGGCAAAAGUAUGAGUCCUUUUAUGAUCGAUAAAAACAUGUUCCUGCUUGGAUCUGGAUGACUUAUUUAAGUUCCAUACUACCACUGCACCAUUUGUAGCUGCAGUAGCUAAUAUAUGAUCUGAGAAAAGAAAUAGCCCAUUAUCUCCCGACUUUUUAAACAAAAUAAAGGAGAAAGAUUAAAAUUUACCAUCGAUAAGAUUCCAAGCAACAUCAUUGCAAGAAAAAUUUAAAUUUAAAUUUUUCCCAACGCGUAGAUUACAAGCUUCUUCAAAUCUAUCUUCUAAUAAAGUAAAUAUUUUGAAAACUGUAAUGCAAAAUAAUUAAUCAAUCAUCAUUUCUUUAGUAAUUAACACUAUGACUGCCAUGUUGGUCAUAUAUGACUGACCAUGGUUUCUCCUGUGACGCCACGGUGGUCAUUGGUGAUGGGAAUGCUUGAACUUCUUGCAAUUGUAAAAAUUGAAUGAAAAUUGACAGUUAGGAUAUUUUGAAUACAACUGAUAAAUAGAAGAUACUUUGAAAUAAAAAGUGCCCCAUUGAAUAAUUAAACAUUUUUAUUAGAACAUCAAUAUAAAAAAAAUGAGAACAAAUCUUGUAUCUAACGGUCCACUGUGUUAAAACACUGUGGCGUCCUGAGCGAAACAUGUGAUUUCAGUGUGGCAAUCAAAGUGUUAAAUAAUUUAGUAUUUUAUGAUUAAAUAAUUUACCAUUGCGACCUGCUAUAACAACUUGACUGUUAUCUUUAUUAAGGGCUAAUGCAUUUGCUGGGCCUUCUUGAGUGAUACAUACAGUUUUGGAAAUCAUGAUGAAAUUCUUUUAAAUAUAUCUUUUUAGUUUGUCAACCACAAUGUACCAUAUACAUAAAUAAAUAUAUUUAAUUUGCACAAAUUUUAAAAAUAUUCGUGUACAAAUUAUCUCACUAUUCCAUACCUUAGUAAAUAAAACAAAUACAUAUAGAUGAAUUUAUUCGUGAUAACAACAUCAAUAUAGAGUACAA